CCUACGGGAGGCAGCAGUAAGGAAUAUUGGUCAAUGGACGAAAGUCUGAACCAGCCAUGCCGCGUGAAGGAUGAAGGCCCUCUGGGUUGUAAACUUCUUUUAUCUGGGACGAAAAAAGCUCAUUCUUGAGCACUUGACGGUACCAGAGGAAUAAGCACCGGCUAACUCCGUGCCAACAGCCGCGGUAAUACGGAGGAUGCAAGCGUUAUCCGGAUUCAUUGGGUUUAAAGGGUGCGCAGGCGGAGUGUUAAGUCAGUGGUGAAAUCUCUCGGCUCAACCGGGAAACUGCCAUUGAUACUGACAUUCUUGAGUAUUGUUGAGGUAGGCGGAAUGUGUCAUGUAGCGGUGAAAUGCUUAGAUAUGACACAGAACACCGAUCGCGAAGGCAGCUUACCAAGCAAUAACUGACGCUCAUGCACGAAAGCGUGGGGAUCAAACAGGAUUAGAUACCCUGGUAGUCCACGCCGUAAACGAUGAUCACUCGAUGUUGGCGAUACACAGUCAGCGUCUUAGGGAAACUAUUAAGUGAUCCACCUGGGGAGUACGGUCGCAAGAUUGAAACUCAAAGGAAUUGACGG
rnacentral:rRNA from 1 species